rnacentral:misc_RNA from 1 species
AUCUCUCAAAACCCCCUUUUGUUUUAUUACGAGAGAGUUUCGGGCUUUGGAUGUUGAUUGUUAAUGCCGUUGUAAAUGGCUCAAUCGAAAUAUAACAGCUGAAGCUAAUAAUUGUAUUAUUGCAUUCUCUGGACUUGGCGUGAUAAUUAUUUCGCUAAGAAACGAGUUUGUUAGCAAUUACUAAGCGGGCUUACAAUACACAACUUUUUAC